CGUGGGUAAUUUACCUUUGGGUGGGGAAGUAACAGUCGGAAACGACUGCUAAUACCGCAUAAUGCAGCGGCAGCUCAUGCUGACAGUUGUUAAAGCGGGGGAUCGUAAGACCUCGCGCCUAAAGAGAAGCCCGCGGCGGAUUAGCUAGUUGGUGAGGUAAUGGCUCACCAAGGCGUCGAUCCGUAGCCGGCCUGAGAGGGCGGUCGGCCACACUGACACUGAAUAACGGGUCAG
rnacentral:rRNA from 1 species